rnacentral:rRNA from 1 species
GAUGAACGCUGGCGGCGUGCCUAAUACAUGCAAGUCGAGCGAACAGACGAGGAGCUUGCUCCUCUGACGUUAGCGGCGGACGGGUGAGUAACACGUGGAUACCCUACCUAUAAGACUGGGAUAACUUCGGGAAACCGGAGCUAAUACCGGAUAAUAUAUUGAACCGCAUGGUUCAAUAGUGAAAGACGGUUUUGCUGUCACUUAUAGAUGGAUCCGCGCCGCAUUAGCUAGUUGGUAAGGUAACGGCUUACCAAGGCGACGAUGCGUAGCCGACCUGAGAGGGUGAUCGGCCACACUGGAACUGGGCCACGGUCCAGACUCCUACGGGAGGCAGCAGUAGGGAACCUUACGCAAUGGGCGAAAGCCUGACGGAGCAACGCCGCGCGAGUGAUGAAGGUCUUCGGAUCGUAAAACUCUGUUAUUGGUGAAGAACAAAUGUGUAAGUAACUAUGCACGUCUUGACGGUACCUAAUCAGAAAGCCACGGCUAACUACGUG